GCAUAUCAAUAAGCGGAGGAAAAGAAAAUACAAUGAUUUCCCUAGUAACGGCGAGUGAAGAGGAAAGAGCUCAAAGUUGGAACCUGUUUGGCUUAGCUAAACCGGAUUGUAAACUGUAGAAGUGUUUUCCUGACACGCCUGGUAAAAAAGUCCUUUGGAACAGGGCAUCAUAGAGGGUGAGAAUCCCGUCUUUGGCCAGAGCUGUUGUCUUUUGUGAUACAUUUUCAAAGAGUCAGGUUGUUUGGGAAUGCAGCCUAAAUUGGGUGGUAAAUCUCACCUAAAGCUAAAUAUUUGCGAGAGACCGAUAGCGAACAAGUACCGUGAGGGAAAGAUGAAAAGAACUUUGAAAAGAGAGUUAAACAGUAUGUGAAAUUGUUAAAAGGGAACCGUUUGGAGCCAGACUGGCUUGAUCGUAAUCAAUCUAAGCUUCGGCUUGGAUGCACUUGCGGUCUUUGCCUGCCAACGACAAUUUUUUCUGGGGGAAAAAACUAAUGUGAAACGUAGCCCAUCUCGGUGGGUGUUAUAGUCCGUUAGAAAAUACCCUGGAUUGGAUUGAGGAACGCAGUGAAUGCUCUUUAGGGCAAGAUUGCUGGGUGCUUUCGCUAAUACAUGCUAAAAUUUCUGCCUUGGGUGGUGUUAGUGUGUAAAGGAGGAACUCGCCUAGUAUAUUUUUUAUUCGCUUAGGUUGUUGGCUUAAUGACUCUAAAUGACCCGUCUUGAAACACGGACCAAGGAGUCCACCAUUAGUGCGAGUAUUUGGGUGACAAACUCAUAUGCGCAAGGAAACUGAUUGAUACGAAAUCUUUAAGAUGGCAGUAUCACCCGGCGAAGACGUUUUAUACUGAACCGACCGAGGUAAAGCACUAAUGAUGGGACCCGAAAGAUGGUGAACUAUGCCUGAAUAGGGUGAAGCCGGAGGAAACUCCGGUGGAGGCUCGUAGCGAUUCUGACGUGCAAAUCGAUCGUCAAAUUUGGGUAUAGGGGCGAAAGACUAAUCGAACCAUCUAGUAGCUGGUUCCUGCCGA
rnacentral:rRNA from 1 species